AUUGAACGCUGGCGGCAUGCUUUACGCAUGCAAGUCGAACGGUAACAGGCCGCAAGGUGCUGACGAGUGGCGAACGGGUGAGUAAUGCAUCGGAACGUGCCCAGUCGUGGGGGAUAACGCAGCGAAAGCUGUGCUAAUACCGCAUACGAUCUGUGGAUGAAAGCGGGGGACCGUAAGGCCUCGCGCGAUUGGAGCGGCCGAUGUCAGAUUAGGUAGUUGGUGGGGUGAAGGCUCACCAAGCCGACGAUCUGUAGCUGGUCUGAGAGGACGACCAGCCACACGGGGACUGAGACACGGCCCAGACUCCUACGGGAGGCAGCAGUGGGGAAUUUUUGACAAUGGGCGCAAGCCUGAUCCAGCAAUGCCGCGUGCAGGAAGAAGGCCUUCGGGUUGUAAACUGCUUUUGUACGGAGCGAAAAGGCUCUCUCUAAUACAGGGGGCUCAUGACGGUACCGUAAGAAUAAGCACCGGCUAACUACGUGCCAGCCGCCGCGGUAACAC
rnacentral:rRNA from 1 species